GAAAACAUAUGUUCUGAUUUAUAAACUGCAGGUCAAACAUGCAGGUGUUAAUGGCUUUUUCCCUGAGCUUUUCAGCUCCAGCCAGACCUGUGUAUGAGCAACCAAUUAAGAAAUAGAAAAUAGCACAGCCAUAAUGGUGUUCCCAUCAUCUCAUAGUAACCAAAUAGCACAGCAAAAUUAGAAACACAGACCUUUCCACCAGGACUCAACCUCCAGGUAAGAAAACAACUCGGGAUCCUGCAUGAACCCAACAAAUGCUUCUGCUUUGACCUUAAAUGGCAUGAUUUAAAGUAAUAGUAAAUAUUUUAAAGACCUUUCCAAUUUAAAUGGGUGAAAAGUUGAAAGUUUGCACUAGUACAGUUAGUUGAAUGAUUAAAAGCAACUAUAACCCUGCUGGUACUAAUGAAGGCUGCACAAAGGUUCACACUGCCAAACAGAAAUACUACCCAAAGCUGUCUGAAAAAAGUCCGUGCACCAUUUUUCCUGUUUUAAAGACUACUUUCCCAUCAGGUUUAAAAGCAAUACUGCUCACAGCAGAGAGGCUAUUGUUAGCCAAGUCUUCAAGAAGCCUGCCAGGUUCCUCGAACCCCAGGAUGGAGAGUGACCAGUGGAGCUUUUGACUUCUUGCCUGGGCAAGAGGCCAUUUGCUCUGGAGCAAGAAUGAGGCGGUGAAACAGCUCUCCAUGAACACCUGUCCAACACCCAUAAACUCAACCCACGCUGCUCAGCAGCCGUGCAGACACACCUCAACAGCCAAACACCACAGCACGAGUUGUCUGCUCUAGGGAGGACAGAGCAGGGAUUCUCACAUCACCAAGUUCACCCAGAGUCUGGUCCCACAAGAAAGCCAAGCCUUCU
rnacentral:lncRNA from 1 species